rnacentral:lncRNA from 1 species
ACAGAUGAGAAAACUGAAACAUUGAGAAGUCAAGUAACUUGCUCAAGAUUAUAUAGCUAGUGCAUAGAGGGGCAAAGAUUUGAACCAGAUUGCCUGGUUCCACAUGCACUUUAACCUGCUUUAUUUAGGCUUUUGAAAGCAACCUAAAUAGCUAACAUUGACUAAAUAAGUGCAGUAUACCUGGUCUGUGUGACAUUUUGCAGGUAUUAAAAAGUGAACAUUCUGAACCCUUUUAGCAAUAUGGCAAAUACUUCUGAUGUGAUGUAUGCAUAUAAAUAUGAUCGAAAGCAAAUAUCCCAAAAGGUUGAUGGCAGUUAUGUCAGGUUAGUAGCACAAUAGUUUCUUUUCUCAUUUUCUCACAUUUUUAGUAAUGUGUGUUGCCUAUAUUAAAAAACAAAUAUUAAAAAGUAGUAGCAUGUAUUAGAUCAGAGCAUGGGCUCAGACUGCCUGUGUCAUCUCUUAUUAGAUGUAUGACCAGGGACAAGUUAUUGACCUUUUGUUUCUAAGUCUCUAAGUUUAUCCUGUAAAAUGAAGAUAAUUGUAGUAACUACCUAAUAACAUGAUUGUAAGGAUUAAAUUAUUUAGAACACUAUUUGUUACUUGGAAAAUAUGCAAUCAUAAGCUAUUUUGUUGUUAUUGUUAUUUUACUACCAAAGCUUAUUGUUUCAGAGCCCCUAGGUGACCAGGCAAAAUGGCAGUUCCUUCCAGCUGGUCCUCAGAUGGGCACAUCUAUUAGCCUCUGCUCUUGUAAGAAGUUAGCUGCAGAACCCACAUGUGAAUCCUUGUAGGACUCUGGAGAAGAUCAAAUGGGAGCUUAGAUGUGGAAGCUCUUUGGAAACCAAGAAACACUCUGAAAAUGAAAAGGGUGGAAGAGUAAACUGUUCCUGUUUCUCCAUCUUGACAGGAAGCAGAAGUUCUCCUUAGCUGAUUUUUCUUCUUGCCUUAUACUGGGUUCUUUAACACCAGAACAAAAAUAAAUAAAUAAAAGAAUCUUCCAGAAAUUCAUGAAGAGACUUCAGGUCAGGAAAGCCUGAACUUUCUCAUCCAACACCCGUUCAAGUCGGAGGAUGCUGAUUAAUUCAUGAUGGAAAGGUAUCAAUUUCACAGCCCAGACCUCUACAUUCUUGAAAUGCUCUUCUCAUGGGAGACAUUAAAUAAGCUUUGAAUUAACUGAGACCUCUGUGGAUUCUAUAACUCAAAGACCCAGGCUGACGGCUGGUGGAAUAGCUACCAUCUCAAACAUGGCGUGAUGCUGCAUCAGAGAGAAAAAUAAGCUCUUGCAUUGACAAUGAAAUGUCUACCCUGUAGUGACUUGUGCUUACUUCCACUCACAAGUGAUUGCCCAGAGCUACUUACCUGGCUCCAAUCUACCACUGGGACCUUGUAUUGAAGACAGCGUAACCCCCAAGAGGAAAGGAGCUUGGAGCCCUGAAUCAGAGUAGAAGACAGGCUGAAUGAAUACCAGCCUUGGACUGUUGUGUGAAUGAAAAACAAGUUUUGAGAUUUGUGUGGUUUAUUUAUUAUAGUUACUGUUAUUAUUAAAGUUUUUCACUGCUUUACUCUCAG